CCCUUUCUAUGCAAUUACAGUUUUACUUCUGUCUUAUCUCAUGUGAGGGUUUAGGCAUGUAUUUAUAAGAACACAAAAAUUGAGUGUUCUUGAUAAAACUAAAAAGUGUGCAUAAUCAUUGCUCAAACGAGAUUUUUGUAUGGUUCAAAUAUAAGUUUUAUUAGUAAAGUUCAUACCUCAAAAGAAUCUGAAUCACCUUUAAAUUAUUUUGGGUACAUAUAUGGAUGGAUAUAGGAUUAGAAGUCGGGUAUUGACCAGAUCCAUAUCCUAUUGACAAUCUCUUAUACGGUCUUUCUUUUCUGAGUGGUGGGGGUCACUUUUCUUUGUCAAGAUACAAAUAUUUUCCACGUUACAUAAAUUAUUUAUUCAAGUGUAUGCUAGACUGGUCUACUCUCUCUCUCUCUCUCUCUCUCUCUCUCUAUCUAUCUAUCUAUCUAUCUAUCUAUAU
rnacentral:lncRNA from 1 species